UUAGCUCAGUUGGUAGAGCAACUGACUCUUAAUCAGUGGGUCUAGGGUUCGAGUCCCUAA
rnacentral:tRNA from 1 species